CAGUCGCCGCUGUAAUACGAAGGGGGCUAGCGUUGCUCGGAAUGACUGGGCGUAAAGGGCGCGUAGGCGGCGAUCAAAGUCAGGCGUGAAAUUCCUGGGCUCAACCUGGGGGCUGCGCUUGAUACUUGGUUGCUUGAGUGGGGAAGAGGGUCGUGGAAUUCCCAGUGUAGAGGUGAAAUUCGUAGAUAUUGGGAAGAACACCGGUGGCGAAGGCGGCGACCUGGUCCUUUACUGACGCUGAGGCGCGAAAGCGUGGGGAGCAAACAGGAUUAGAUACCCGCGUAGUCCCUGUCUCUUAUAC
rnacentral:rRNA from 1 species